rnacentral:rRNA from 1 species
UACGCAGGGGGCAAGCGUUAUCCGGAUUUACUGGGUGUAAAGGGAGCGUAGACGGCAGAGCAAGUCUGAAGUGAAAGCCCGCGGCCCAACUGCGGGACUGCUUUGGAAACUGCCCGGCUAGAGUGCUGGAGAGGUAAGCGGAAUUCCUAGUGUAGCGGUGAAAUGCGUAGAUAUUAGGAGGAACACCAGUGGCGAAGGCGGCUUACUGGACAGUAACUGACGUUGAGGCUCGAAAGCGUGGGGAGCAAACAGG